rnacentral:rRNA from 1 species
AGUCGAGGGGUAUUUAUCUUCGGAUAGAGAGACCGGCGCACGGGUGCGUAACGCGUAUGCAAUCUACCUUUUACAGAGGGAUAGCCCAGAGAAAUUUGGAUUAAUACCUCAUAGUAUAAUGACCUGGCAUCAGGAUGUUAUUAAAGUCACAACGGUAAAAGAUGAGCAUGCGUCCCAUUAGCUAGUUGGUAAGGUAACGGCUUACCAAGGCUACGAUGGGUAGGGGUCCUGAGAGGGAGAUCCCCCACACUGGUACUGAGACACGGACCAGACUCCUACGGGAGGCAGCAGUGAGGAAUAUUGGACAAUGGGCGCAAGCCUGAUCCAGCCAUGCCGCGUGCAGGAUGACGGUCCUAUGGAUUGUAAACUGCUUUUAUACGAGAAGAAACACUGCUUCGUGAAGCAGCUUGACGGUAUCGUAAGAAUAAGGAUCGGCUAACUCCGUGCCAGCAGCCGCGGUAAUACGGAGGAUCCAAGCGUUAUCCGGAAUCAUUGGGUUUAAAGGGUCCGUAGGCGGUUUAAUAAGUCAGUGGUGAAAGCCCAUCGCUCAACGGUGGAACGGCCAUUGAUACUGUUAAACUUGAAUUAUUAGGAAGUAACUAGAAUAUGUAGUGUAGCGGUGAAAUGCUUAGAGAUUACAUGGAAUACCAAUUGCGAAGGCAGGUUACUACUAAUGGAUUGACGCUGAUGGACGAAAGCGUGGGUAGCGAACAGGAUUAGAUACCCUGGUAGUCCACGCCGUNAACGAUGGAUACUAGCUGUUGGAAAGCAUUUCAGUGGCUAAGCGAAAGUGAUAAGUAUCCCACCUGGGGAGUACGUUUCGCAGAAUGAAACUCAAAGGAAUUGACGGGGGCCCGCACAAG